UACGUAGGGGGCAAGCGUUAUCCGGAAUUACUGGGUGUAAAGGGUACGUAGGCGGCCCAUUAAGUCAGAUGUGAAAGCCCCGGAGCUCAACUCCGGGAUUGCAUUUGAAACUGGUGGGCUAGAGUACAGGAGAGGAAAGUGGAAUUCCUAGUGUAGCGGUGAAAUGCGUAGAUAUUAGGAAGAACACCAGUGGCGAAGGCGGCUUUCUGGACUGUAACUGACGCUGAGGUACGAAAGCGUGGGGAGCGAACAGGAUUAGAUACCCGUGUAGU
rnacentral:rRNA from 1 species